rnacentral:ncRNA from 2 species
AGCAGAGUAAAAAUCAAAGCGUCAAGUGCUGUAAAGACGGGGAGUUGCUUUACGGACGAAGAAGUUUACCUUUGCGGUUUUGAUUUUGCAUCCCGCUGCU